rnacentral:rRNA from 1 species
ACUCCUACGGGAGGCAGCAGUAGGGAAUCUUCCACAAUGGACGAAAGUCUGAUGGAGCAAUGCCGCGUGAGUGAAGAAGGUUUUCGGAUCGUAAAGCUCUGUUGCGAGGGAAGAACACGUACGGGAGUAACUGCCCGUACCUUGACGGUACCUCGUCAGAAAGCCACGGCUAACUACGUGCCAGCAGCCGCGGUAAUACA